rnacentral:rRNA from 1 species
AAUACCGCAUAUGCCCGCAGUGCUGCAUGGCACAGCGGGGAAAACUCCGGUGGUAUGCGAUGGGUCCGCGUCUGAUUAGGCAGUUGGCGGGGUAACGGCCCACCAAACCGACGAUCAGUAGCCGGCCUGAGAGGGCGGACGGCCACACUGGGACUGAGACACGGCCCAGACUCCUGCGGGAGGCAGCAGUGGGGAAUAUUGCACAAUGGGGGAAACCCUGAUGCAGCGACGCCGCGUGAAGGAAGAAGUAUCUCGGUAUGUAAACUUCUAUCAGCAGGGAAGAAAACAGACGGUACCUGACUAAGAAGCCCCGGCUAACUACGUGCCAGCAGCCGCGGUAAUACGUAGGGGGCAAGCGUUAUCCGGAUUUACUGGGUGUAAAGGGGGCGCAGACGGCCAUGGCAAGCCCGGUGUGAAAGGCAGGGGCAUAACCCCUGGACUGCACUGGGAACUGUCAGGCUGGAGUGCCGGAGGGGUAAGCGGAAUUCCUGGUGUAGCGGUGAAAUGCGUAGAUAUCAGGAGGAACACCGGCGGCGAAGGCGGCUUACUGGACGGCAACUGACGUUGAGGCCCGAAAGCGUGGGGAGCGAACAGGAUUAGAUACCCUGGUAGUCCACGCCGUAAACGAUGUAUACCAGGUGUCGGAUAUCAAGGAUAUCCGGUGCCGAAGC